UACGUAGGGUGCAAGCGUUAAUCGGAAUUACUGGGCGUAAAGCGUGCGCAGGCGGUGAUGUAAGACAGGUGUGAAAUCCCCGGGCUUAACCUGGGAACUGCGUUUGAAACUACAAGGCUAGAGUGUGACAGAGGGGGGUGGAAUUCCACGUGUAGCAGUGAAAUGCGUAGAGAUGUGGAGGAACACCGAUGGCGAAGGCAGCCCCCUGGGUUAACACUGACGCUCAGGCACGAAAGCGUGGGGAGCAAACAGG
rnacentral:rRNA from 1 species